GGGCAAUAGGCGUCUAUGCUACCAUGAUGAAGACCGACGCCUCUCACAAGGAGCUCUUUUUCUACCGUGGCUUGAUGACGAAGUUGUUCGAGUCGUAACUGAUUCUGUCUCUUCCACUUCGUUCUGGAACAAAUAAGCAAGUUGAGCAUGUGUGAAAGCCGUUCGUCUUCUUCGUGGCUUUCUUCCACUAGGUGGACCACUAGGAGUUCCACAAGAUUUACCGGACGUUGCCGGACCUGGUGGAGGCGAGAGAACAGGUGGUGGACUUCCUAGUCGAGUACAAGGACUACUGCCAGGGUCGAUUGUAUCUUCGGAAUCCGAAUGAACGGCCGAAUCAUCUUCGGAAUCUUCUAUUUGACUCAACGGUGAAAGCCUAUUAUCGACACAAUGCCAAACGAACGGAAAUCGAUUUACUAUCGUCCCUAGUUCAUGGUAAACGAUCUCAAUCAAGAUCCUGUGGUGUCGUGCAACGAUUGACCAAUAAAACUGGGAAGCGCUGCGGGACAGAGUAAGCGACGGCAAAAAUUUGUGGACUAACGAAUCCUAACGAGUCACUUCGCACCUAAAACCAUCUGUAGGAUCACCCCUAACAGGGCGACACCCUGUAGGGUGGAUCGUCGUUCCUCGGACCCCGAAUAGUGGAUAAAAAUAAUAGAAGAGUCCUUAGGGGGUAUCUUUUAACGAGAAUCCCGACGGUAGUGCACGCGACCGACUCGUGUUUCGCAUAUAAAACACUAAUAAUCUAUCAAAAUUCAUUUUUUUAUUGAUUGUGAAAUCUUUAAAAAGUCUUCGAUCGUUCGAGAAGUCGAUGUAAGUUGAACAAAAUUUCCUAUCGAACUAAUACUUUUAUCUAUAUCAUCUUGAUUAACAAGUCAUAUUUUUAUAUUUUUUUAGAUCACCUACCUUGAACUCUGUCUGCCAGAACGUCGCCCAAAAGAUCUCUUAUCAAAAAGGACUUGUGUUCUUGCAUCAUCGUCACUGAAGAAUCGACGCAAACCAGUUUUGAAAACUAAACAAGAUCACUCGAGCAGUAACUCAAAUUGCGAUGAUAUCGUAACGAAGUUGAUUUAUUUACAUCGACCUCGAGAAAGGAUAACGUUAGCAGUACCAAAUGUAGGAGAGAUAGAUAUGCAUCAUAUUUACAUAAAUACAUCCCUCGCUGUUUGGAGUUUCCUACCGUACCUCCCCUUGCCCUUUGGAGGGGUAGUUUGUGAGCGUAAAUAUGCAUGAUGCAUGCACUCACAAAUCCUCAAACCGCCUACUUUCUCAGCCGCCUCCAUGCUUCCACUAUUUCUCUCGCGGCCCUGGGCUCAACAGCACCCUGUUAGUCUAUUCACUGCACUACACUACUUAGCUUUUGUAAGCACCUACACAUAGGAUAUAUCUACAUAGAUUUGUUUUCGUAUAUGUAUUUUAUAUUUUACGAAAUCGCAUUCAGUAGAAACGAUAAAAUACGAAAAUAUGACGAUAAAAUCAACGAUGCGUAUAUACACAUAUAUAUCUCGAACUUAUCGAUUAUUUAACCGUAUUGACGUACUCUACUUGCUUGUUACUGUAUCACAUAUAUACGUUUUUAUUAGAAUUUUUAUCUCUUCGCGCGUAAAAAAGAUCUUUCUUUCUAAAGUCAAAUCUUCCUCAAAAGUAUUUGUUUUAAUUAUUCUUUAUAUGACAUUAUUAUACCAUAUCGACACCUGUAAAGUCCUCCUUAUGAUGUCGAGCAGUGAACGCGAUGGAUCGGAACGCCUUUCUGAAUUCAUUAGGAUUAACGUAUGCAGGAGAUUAAUUCAAGGGGCGGCAAAGCGGCUAGGCGUCUUCUUACCGGGCGCAGAAAAGGGCGCCGAGAACACUGAAAAGAGGGGAAUAAAUGAGUGAUAGAAGACGGAACAAGAAAUCAAUGUAUAUCUCGGUUGAAUCAGGUCAUCUAAUGGCACCUAAUACAGUAUCGCACCCUUAAAUUGGAUAUUUUGCGAGGGGAAGAUUCGUGUAUGUGAAACUCGUUUUAUUAUCGCAUCUGUCGUGAUCCGAACGAAGCUAAAUUGAUGGAAGUAAGAAAAGAGGAGAAUCACCAUCGUGCAAAAAAGAAACGAUGCAGAAUUUUUAAUUUAUCUUGGCAAAAAAUGUGGAACGCUUCACGAUUUUGCGUGUCAUCCUUGCGCAGGGGCCAUGCUAAUCUUCUCUGUAUCGUUCCAAUUUUAGUAUAUGUACUGCCGAAGCAAGUACAACAGGAUAGAUCAGGAAGAGUAAUAUAUAGAAAUCUACUCCAUAUAUAGUGUUUGCGAGAAAACUUAUAUACUUGUAAUGUAUAGUAUUCUUAAGCGCCAUCUAGUGAAAGAUUUGCGUAAUACUUGCAAGUUUAGCUAGAAAAUUCUUGUAAGUAUAGAUUGCAGAUACAUUUUUAUUAAUAAUCUUUGAUAAGAAAUAAUACACUU